rnacentral:rRNA from 1 species
GGCGGCAUGCCUAAAACAUGCAAGUCGAGCGGUAAGGCCCCUUCGGGGGUACACGAGCGGCGGACGGGUGAGUAACGCGUGGGAAUCUACCCAAACUGAGGGAUAAGCAUUGGAAACGAUGUCUAAUACCGCAUAUGGUCUUCGGAUUAAAGCUUCGGCGGUUUGGGAAGAGCCCGCGUAAGAUUAGCUAGUUGGUGAGGUAAAGGCUCACCAAGGCGACGAUCUUUAACUGGUUUGAGAGGAUGAUCAGUCACACUGGAACUGAGACACGGUCCAGACUCCUACGGGAGGCAGCAGUUAGGAAUUUUCCACAAUGGGCGAAAGCCUGAUGGAGCAAUGCCGCGUGCAGGAUGAAGGCCCUAGGGUUGUAAACUGCUUUUAUACGUGAAGAAUAUGACGGUAACGUAUGAAUAAGGAUCGGCUAACUCCGUG